rnacentral:rRNA from 1 species
GGAAUCUUAGACAAUGGGGGCAACCCUGAUCUAGCCAUGCCGCGUGAGUGACGAAGGCCUUAGGGUCGUAAAGCUCUUUCGCCUGUGAUGAUAAUGACAGUAGCAGGUAAAGAAACCCCGGCUAACUACGUGCCAGCAGCCGCGGUAAUACGGAGGGGGUUAGCGUUGUUCGGACUUACUGGGCGUAAAGCGCACGUAGGCGGAUCAGAAAGUUGGGGGUGAAAUCCCGGGGCUCAACCCCGGAACUGCCUCCAAAACUCCUGAUCUGGAGUUCGAGAGAGGUGAGUGGAAUUCCGAGUGUAGAGGUGAAAUUCGUAGAUAUUCGGAGGAACAUCAGUGGCGAAGGCGGCUCACUGGCUCGAUACUGACGCUGAGGUGCGAAAGUGUGGGGAGCAAAC